ACAAAAGUCUAAAAUUUUAUCAAAAAGGUCCCAAAAUCUCAACAACCCGGAAUCUGAUUUCUCAAUUCUCGCUUCACCGUGUCUCAAGAACUCGCCACCACUAUGUAGUAAUACGAUGUGUGAAUCAACGAUUUUGGUGUUCUUGAUACAAUUUGCAAUCCAUUCUUGCUCAAGUUUCGUUUGAAAUUUCAGAACCAUGUAAAACUAUAUUAGUAUGAUAUAGAGAUCGGGAAGUGUAUAUUCCUUAUAUUUAUGAGUUUCGAUUUCGUCUAGAAGUGAUGAAUCUGUCUAAUUAGGUUAAGUUGAGAUAUUUUAGGGUUUCUUUAAUUUUUUUUUUUCAGCUGUUAGGUGAAGAUGGAUCAUCAAAUUGAAUAUGGUGUUGAAGUGACUGGGUUAUCUCCAUCUGUUUCUGAGAAAGAUCUUAUUGAUUUCUUUUCUUUCUCUGGUACAAUCGAAUAUGUUGAUAUUGUCAUGUAAACAAACUUUACUUCCAGACAAAAUUGGUAUUUUGUGCAUAUUCUGGAUUUACAAGAUUAAAUCUGCUAUGUUGUUACCGAGACUAGGUCGGGUGAGCAAGCUUGCACUGCUUAUGUGAUGUUCAGGGAUUCUUAUUCUCAAGAAACUGCUGUUUUACUCAGUAUAAAUUGUUUCGAUUUUAUUCACUUUUUUCUCUCUUUUACACAUCUCUCAGUUUUGAUCUUUCUGUGUUUUAUUAGAUAGUAGAAUCUUACACUCACUGGUUUCAUGUUUCGUCUCAUUUCUAAAGCUCAUUCGUUCUUCAAUCAGGUAGCCUUAUGCUCAUCGAGGCGAGUUCAACGCUGGAGAAGCAGUGAUUAAAGCUCAAGAAGUGGUGAAAACAAUGCUUGCCACAGGAUUCGUGCUAGGCAAAGACGCUUUAAGCAAAGGUAAAACCUUUGACGAAUCCCACGGUGUAUCAGCUGCGGUGAUGGCUAGAGUUUCCCAAUUAGAGCAGAGGAUUGGUCUCACUGACAAAAUCUUUAGCGGACUUGAAGCUGUCAGAAUGACCGACCGAAGAUUGUUUUGGGAGGCGGUUAGGACCACAUCUUCGUUACUCGGUUUAUCCUUUUCCUUCUCCAAGUCUGUUCUGAAGCUGGAUCGGAGUUCCUGAGGAUCACCAAAGUUGUGGUCAACAAGUGCGAAUGAGAAGAGUGGAUUCAUCAACCUCGUGUCACGUUACCUCAGGUUCGUCCUUCAAUUGAAGGAUUGUAAGCUCAUUGGGCUCUCUGCAGGUGUGGUCCUUGCAAAGUGACUGCUCCCAAAUACAAAGAGCUAUAUGAGAUGUACCAGGAUAUGGUGUUUCUUAAGCUUGACUGCAACCAAGACAACAAGCCAUUGGCAAAGGAGCUAGGAAUUAGAGUGGUUCAGACCUUUAAGAUCUUGAAGGACAACAAGUACCGAUCAUCAACAGUUUGACCUUGUAAGCUCUCGACAGAUUGUGCCUGAUUUGAUGUGUAUGACUCAUAUGAAGCAGAGGAAGUGUUUGCGUAUUCUUCUCGGAUUUGAUACCAGAUCUACUUUCACAUGCUGAACUUGAUCGAAAGGCUGCUCACAGUUGACCUGUGAGAAUUGAACUCCUCACUGUUGGAAUUCGGAGGGAGGGUAAUACUGGUUUGUGUCCAUUAUUUCCCUGGAAAUACCACUAUUCUGUAAAGUAGAACAGUUCUCCGAAAACCCAUGCAAAUAAUUAAGAUGAUCAAUCUGCUUCUUCUCAAAAUUUGCC